rnacentral:rRNA from 1 species
AGCAGCCGCGGUAAUUCCAGCUCCAAUAGCGUAUAUUAAAGUUGUUGCAGUUAAAAAGCUCGUAGUUGAAUUUCGGGGUCUGUCCGUCGGUCGGGCUUCACGGUCCGUACUGGUGUGAUGGGUUCCUACCUUCUGAAUAACCGGCAUGCCAUUCAGUUGGUGCGCCGGGGAAGCAGAGCUAUUACCUUGAAAAAAUUAGAGUGCUUAAAGCAGGCUAGUGCUUGAAUAGAUUAGCAUGGAAUAAUAAAAUAGGACGGCAUGGUUCUAUUUUGUUGGUUUCUAGGAUCACCGUAAUGAUUAAUAGGGAUAGUUGGGGGCAUUAGUAUUCAAUUGUCAGAGGUGAAAUUCUUGGAUUUAUUGAAGACUAACUUCUGCGAAAGCAUUUGCCAAGGAUGUUUUCAUUAAUCAAGAACGAAAGUUAGGGGAUCGAAGACGAUCAGAUACCGUCGUAGUCUUAACCAUAAACUAUGCCGACUAGGGAUCGGACGAUGUUAAUUUUUUAAUGACUCGUUCGGCGCCUUACG